CGCACGGGUGAGUAACACGUAUGCAAUCCACCUGUAACAGGGGAUAACCGGAGAAUCCGGACUAAUACCCAUAAUAUGGGCGCUCCGCAUGGAGAGCCCAUUAAAGAGAGCAAUUUUGGUUACAGACGAGCAUGCGCUCCAUUAGCCAGUUGGCGGGGUAACGGCCCACCAAAGCGACGAUGGAUAGGGGUUCUGAGAGGAAGGUCCCCCACAUUGGAACUGAGACACGGUCCAA
rnacentral:rRNA from 1 species